rnacentral:rRNA from 1 species
AUGAACAUUGCAGAGGAUUUGGAUAACCAACCUUCAAAAAAAGCAAAAAAUUCUGAAACAGGUGUUCUGGAGCCAUCACCAAUGUCACCAACUAUGUCAGCAUCUCUCCAAUUUCUGAAUGUUUUGAAUCGAUUGUGCCGGAAUCAGUUUUACCAUUACAUGAUGUUAAGGAACCAGAUUCAAAUAAAGAGAUCAUAG